UAAAAAACAAACCCUAAGUUUCCGUGUCCAACAUUUGACCGUCCGUUUUAUAUGAAAUUUUUUUAUAAUUAGUAUUUUCAUUGUUGUUAGAUGAUAAAACAUGAUUAAUAUUUUAUGUGUGACUUAUCUUUUUAAUUUUUUUUAUAAUUUUUUCAAAUAAGACGGACGGUUAAACUUUGGACACGGAAACUCAGGGUUUGUCUUUUU
rfam:Oryza sativa Japonica Group DNA, chromosome 10, cultivar: Nipponbare, complete sequence.